rnacentral:rRNA from 1 species
ACGCUAGCGAUAGGCUUAACACAUGCAAGUCGAGGGGCAGCAUGGUCUUAACUUGCUAAGACUGAUGGCGACCGGCGCACGGGUGCGUAACGCGUAUGCAACUUGCCUCACAGAGGGGGAUAACCCGUCGAAAGACGGACUAAUACCGCGUACACUCUAUGUUGGGCAUCCAAUGUAGAGGAAAUGAAAUUCGCUGUGAGAUAGGCAUGCGUCCCAUUAGCUAGUUGGUGAGGUAACGGCUCACCAAGGCGACGAUGGGUAGGGGAACUGAGAGGUUGAACCCCCACACUGGUACUGAGACACGGACCAGACUCCUACGGGAGGCAGCAGUGAGGAAUAUUGGUCAAUGGGCGAGAGCCUGAACCAGCCAAGUCGCGUGAAGGAUGACUGUCUUAUGGAUUGUAAACUUCUUUUAUACGGGAAUAACAAGAGUCACGUGUGGCUCCCUGCAUGUACCGUAUGAAUAAGCAUCGGCUAACUCCGUGCCAGCAGCCGCGGUAAUACGGAGGAUGCGAGCGUUAUCCGGAUUUAUUGGGUUUAAAGGGUGCGUAGGCGGCCUGUUAAGUCAGCGGUGAAAUCUAGGAGCUUAACUCCUAAAUUGCCAUUGAUACUGGCGGGCUUGAGUGUAGAUGAGGUAGGCGGAGUGCGUGGUGUAGCGGUGGAAUGCAUAGAUAUCACGCAGAACUCCGAUUGCGAAGGCAGCUUACUAAGGUACAACUGACGCUGAAGCACGAAAGCGUGGGUAUCAAACAGGAUUAGAUACCCUGGUAGUCCACGCAGUAAACGAUGAUAACUGGGCGUAUGCGAUAUACAGUAUGCUCCUAAGCGAAAGCGUUAAGUUAUCCACCUGGGGAGUACGCCGGCAACGGUGAAACUCAAAGGAAUUGACGGGGGCCCGCACAAGCGGAGG